UGGAGCAUGUGGUUUAAUUCGACGCAACGCGAAGAACCUUACCUGGGUUUGACAUCCUCCGACCGCCUUGGAAACAAGGGUUUUUCCGGUUCUGCCGGAACAGAGUGACAGGUGCUGCAUGGCUGUCGUCAGCUCGUGUCGUGAGAUGUUGGUUAAGUCCCGCAACGAGCGUAACCCUUGUCUUUAGUUGCCAGUAUUCAGUUAGGCACUCUAAAGAGACUGCCUCGGUUAACGGGGAGGAAGGUGGGGAUGACGUCAAGUCCUCAUGGCCUUUAUACCCAGGGCUACACACGUGCUACAAUGGUUGGUACAACGAGUUGCGAGUCGGUGACGGCGAGCUAAUCUCUUAAAGCCAAUCUCAGUUCGGAUUGUAGGCUGCAACUCGCCUACAUGAAGUCGGAAUCGCUAGUAAUCGCGGAUCAGCACGCCGCGGUGAAUACGUUCCCGGGCCUU
rnacentral:rRNA from 1 species